rnacentral:rRNA from 1 species
GACGAACGCUGGCGGCGUGCCUAAUACAUGCAAGUCGAGCGGACGGAUGGGAGCUUGGUUCCAGACCGGCAGAGGCGGACGGGUGAGUAACACGUGGGCAACCUUCCUGUAAGACUGGGAUCACUCCGGGGAACCGGGUCCAAUACCUGAUUACUAUUUCCAUCAGAUGGGGUAAAGAUGAAAGGUGGCAUCUCGCGUUCACUUACAGUGGAUCCCGCGGGGCAUUGGCUAGUUGGCGAGUUAACGUCUAACCAGGGCGAGGAUGCGUAGCCGACCUGAGGGGGUGAUCGGCCACACUGGAACUGGGACACGGCCCAGACUCCUACGGGAGGCAGCAGUAGGGAAUCUUCCGCAAUGGUCGAAAGUCUGACGGAGCAACGCCGCGUGAGUGAUGAAGGUGUUCGGAUCGUAAAACUCUGUUGUCAGGGAAGAACAUGUACCGAAGUAACUGCCGGUACCUUGACGGUACCUGAUCAGAAAGCCACGGCUAACUACGUG